AAGUCGUAACAAGGUCUCCGUAGGUGAACCUGCGGAGGGAUCAUUAGUGAAGAUUGGACGCUCGCAAGAGGUCCGCUCCACUCACACACUGUGCAUUAGAGUCGCUUUUGCGAUUUCACACUUGUGUUAUUAGUUGAGAUUGAAACUUGUAAAAAGGAAAA
rnacentral:misc_RNA from 1 species